rnacentral:rRNA from 1 species
AGCGAACGCUGGCGGCAGGCUUAACACAUGCAAGUCGAACGGGCAUAGCAAUAUGUCAGUGGCAGACGGGUGAGUAACGCGUGGGAACGCACCUUUUGGUUCGGAACAACACAGGGAAACUUGUUCUAAUACCGGAUAAGCCCUUACGGGGAAAGAUUUAUCGCCGAAAGAUCGGCCCGCGUCUGAUUAGCUAGUUGGUAGGGUAAUGGCCUACCAAGGCGACGAUCAGUAGCUGGUCUGAGAGGAUGAUCAGCCACAUUGGGACUGAGACACGGCCCAAACUCGUACGGGAGGCGGCAGUAGGGUAUAUUGGACAAUGGGCGAAAGCCUGAUCCAGCCAGGCCGCGUGAGUGAUGAAGGCGGUAGGGUUGUAAAGCUCUUUUGUGCGGGGAGAUAAUGACGGUACCGGAAGAAUAAGCCCCGGCUAACUUCGUG